GACGAACGCUGGCGGCGUGCUUAACACAUGCGAGUCGGACGGAAAGGGGCUGCUUCUGUGGGGUGCUCGUGUGGCACACGGGAGAGUCACACGUGGGUAGCCUGACCUUGACUUUGGGAUAACUCCAGGAAACUGGGGCUAAUGCCGGAUAGGAACUCCUGCUGCAUGGUGGGGGCUGGCAUGUGUCGACGGUUGGGGAGGGGCUAGCGGCUUCUCAGACUGUGGUUGGGGUAGUGGCUGACCAGGGCGUUGACGGGUAGACGGCCUGAGGGGGUGACCGGCCACAUUGGGACGGAGAUACGGCCGAGACUCCUACUGGGGGCAGCAGUGGGGGAUAAUGCACAAUGGUCGGAAGCCUGAUGCAGCAACGCCGCGGGCGGGAUGACGACCUUCGGGUUGUAAACCGCUUUCGCCUGUGACGAAGCGAGAGUGACGGUAAUUGGUAAAGAAGCACCGGCUAACUACGUG
rnacentral:rRNA from 1 species